rnacentral:rRNA from 1 species
UGGGGAAUAUUGCACAAUGGGCGAAAGCCUGAUGCAGCAACGCCGCGUGAGUGAUGAAGGCCUUCGGGUUGUAAAGCUCUGUCUUUUGGGACGAUAAUGACGGUACCAAAGGAGGAAGCCACGGCUAACUACGUGCCAGCAGCCGCGGUAAUACGUAGGUGGCAAGCGUUGUCCGGAUUUACUGGGCGUAAAGGAUGCGUAGGCGGAUUUUUAAGUGAGAUGUGAAAAACCCUAAGCUUAACUUGGGGACUGCAUUUCAUACUGGAAAUCUAGAGUGCGGGAGAGGAGAAUGGAAUUCCUAGUGUAGCGGUGAAAAUGCGUAGAGAUUAGGAAGAACACCAGUGGCGAAGGCGAUUCUCUGGACCGUAACUGACGCUGAGGCAUGAAAAGCGUGGGUAGCAAAACAGGAUUAGAUACCCUGGUAGUCCACGCCGUAAAACGAUGAGUACUAGGUGUAGGAGGUAUCGACCCCUUCUGUGCCGCAGUU